rnacentral:pre_miRNA from 1 species
UGGACAGAUUAUUGUAUUCACGGCAUAAAACAGGGGAUUACACUAUUUUUAAAUGGAAAGUGAAUCAAUUAACACAAUAGACUCCU